CUGGUUAAAUAAAAAUAACGAUCUAAUACUACUGUUAUUAUUGUAUUAUUAUCACUAUCAACGGCUAAUUAUUGAAUUAACAUAUUUGGGAUAUUGGAUUCAAGAAAAAAAUGGGUUUACAGAACCCGAGGAGUGUCACGGAAACAGCAGAUAUGAUUUAUUUAACAAACUGAUAAAGCGGGUAGAUACAUGUCAAGAAGAGGGAGAAACGAUAAAAAGUGCUUACCCAGUGGCGACAGCCUUAUGUAAACACGACCAACUGUGAGGAACGACAGAAGAAUUCAAACGACAUUAAAAUCAAAUCUAUUCUGAGUAAAGAAAUUACAGCACCAUUAAUCAAACUAUGAGAGACAGUGAAAUAAAAACGGCAACUCAAGUUAAUGUCCAAUCGAAAGGGUUAUACAAAACAUAUCCUUCUACAUUAUGGGAUUUUAUACUUUAUUGCAUUUUGUGGGACUAAUUAUGUAGACUAUAUUUUAGUUAAAAACCAUUAACAUGAGAAGAGAAAUUUGAACAAGGUAGGUUAACGACCUGACCAGACAAACUUCCCUGAGCCCUAUGGUUAUAACCUAUGAUAAGACCCAAUCAGUUCACUCUGUUGGGAGAAAACUGUUAUCCCUAUACAUAGUGCAAUGGACAUAAAAGCAAAAAGAAGGUCAAAGGCCCUAGGUACUGUCAGUGCAGAGGUCACCUUCUCCUGCUGGAUUAUAAGGCACAUUACAUCUGUGGAAAAUGGAAAACACGAAACCUCAGCCAGUCUACCCUGGGUACCCCUGUAGGUAUGACUUCGUUAACCUGAACUCAGUUACUCGAUCUGGAUUGAUUAUCUCAAAAGGUUUUACCAGCAACUUGCACUCAGGACUAGGCUCUAAUACUGUCACUAAUGUCAGUUUACAGAUUGUACCAGAGAUUGACAAUGAAUUAACAGAGCUGAAUGCAAGACAGGGUAAAGUGUUUGUCAAAAUAGGGAAUAGAAAUAGGAAAGACACUCCUAGUUAAAAGAUCAGUAGAAACAAAGACAAUUUCAUUAGUUAAUACUUGUCACAACCUUACAACAGCAACCAGUCUUUCUCACAUUCUAACACAAACACACUCUCUUUCCAGUCAUUCAAUGGGUAUAUUUAUGUCUUUGAGGGGGGGGGGACCUCCUCUGGGUAACACCAUUACAGCACUCCCUCCAAGGUUAUGAUGUCACACGUGGCUCCUUCCACUGGGCGUGUCCUUGACAGGUGAGCGUGGUCUGCUGCAAUGGUUUGAUUGAUAGAAGGUGUGGCCUAUCGAGUGGGAGCUUGCCCUGGAGUGGAAUGAGGAGGAGGAGCUACUGUCAGUGGAGGGAGCGGUCUCUUCAACAGCGUUUCCCAAACUCGGUCCUGAGGCCUCACCUGGGAGCAUGUUUUGGUUUUUGCCAUAGCACAACACAGCCGAUAAAAAAAAAUCAGAGCUUGAUGAGGAGUUGGUAUUUUGAAUCAGCUAGGGCAAAAAACAAAACAUGCCCCCAGGGUUCAGGACUGAGGUGGGGAAACCCUGGUCUAGAAGAAGAUGGGGAGUGUCCAUCAUGGGGACUGUGUUUUGGGGACAAAGUGUCUCUUGUGACCAGAGGCUCUUUUAUGUCGGUGUUUCUUGUCUCUAUGGCUGUCUCUGUCAUUGUCAUUGUCUCAGUCCCUUCUGUCUUUGUAGCUGUCUUGGCCUGUGUUGCUAUCUUAGUCUUAAAGAUGGACACAAAAGAGACAAAGUUCUCGGCUGUCUCUAUGAUUGUCUUUGUCCCUGAGUCCCCUGUGGUCUUUGUAUUCCCAAUUGUCUCUGGGUGGUGUCCUGCCCCCUACUAUUUGAUGUCUGUACUCCUGAGUGGCCAGCAGGGCAGGGCUGUGGAAUGGUGUUGAGCAGGAAACGCUUGUUAGUGCUGCACAGCGGACACUUCAUCCUGAAAGACAGUUGAACCAAAAUGAACACUGCAAAGCCAGCAAGGCCUUCAAUAUGAGCCAGUAACUUUGACACCGGUCUGUACGGGUCAGUCAUACCUUGCCGAGAGUCAAAGACAUUCUGCAUUGAAAGCCAAACACCCAUAACAGAUCCUUAACCAGAUCCUUUGCUAACACAUCCCACUCACCAGCCUGCUGGACCCAUGGUUUCUGCUUGCACCCAGCCCGAUUGGUUUCCUUCAACCGCUCAUCCAAUGCAUGUCUACAUGGAACAUGGGGAGAGAGAACACCUGACCACUGUGACUGACCCAAACUUAAGGAAAGCGUUGACUAUGUACAGACUCAGUGAGCAUAGCCUUGCUAUUGAGAAAGGCCGCCGUAGGCAGACCUGGCUCUCAAGAGAAGACAGGCUAUGUGCUCACUGCCCACAAAAGGAGGUGGAAACUGUGCUGCACUUCCUAACCUCCUUCCAAAUGUAUGACCAUAUUAGACACAUAUUUCCCUCAGACUACACAGACCCAUAAAUAAUUUGAAAACAAAUCUAAUGUCGAUAAACUCCCAUAUCUAUUGGGCAACCAGUGAAGAACAAACACAAUUGCAAAUACAACCUAUAUUUAUGUUGAAUUAUUUCCCUUUUGUACUUUAACUAUUUGCACAUCAUUACAACACUGUAUAUAGACAUGACAUUUAAAUGUCUUUAUUCUUUUGGAACUUUUAUAAGUGUAAUGUUUACUGUUCAUUUUUUAUUGUUUAUUUCACAAAGUAUUUAUUUAUUUCACUUGCUUUGGCAAUGUAAACAUAUGUUUCCCAUGCCAAUAAAGCCCUUAAAUGUGCAUUUAAUUGAGAGAGAGCAAGAGGGAGACAUUGACAUAUAAAAUGGGGCUAAAAAGGGAGAGUAGAGAAAGGGGAGAAUAAAAAGUGAGAGGAAAAACAGCAGAAUGGAAAGCAGAGAGGGAGAUGCAUCACAACUUCAGUCUAAGAGGGCAAACAACAGUAACUUAGAGGUACCUCUUGUGUCCUGGGUUGACCUGCUGAGUCAGUAGUAUCUUGUCUCAGUGGGAGAAACUGUUAUAGCUGCCCUUUGACCACAGACAAGUGCGCGCAGGAUCUCUCACGCACGCACAUUAUUUUACUAUCAAUGGUGCACACACACAUCAAUCUCUAUUCUCACACUCCAUCCUCCCCCAAACAUUGAAUUUCCAGCAGCUGCGACCCAAAAAUAACUCCCUACUUGUUUGGUGUUACAUUACCUUGCUGAAUCUCUCAACAACAAUUCAGUCGCUAAGUGAGAUAGUUAGCUAGUAAUGCUACAAUUGAUUGAAUAACAGCACAACAUAACUAGCUAAUCAUUUACAAGCAUAACAUGAAUAGCAAUCGACCUAGCUGCUGGAAAACAAUUAACUACAAUUUAAAUAGCAUAAUAAAUCCCCUUGACAUAGCUAGCUAGAUUGCCUUUUAAAACACCGAUAAAAUUCACAUCAAGCAAGAAAAAAUCACACUGGCAGUAGGAUAGAUUAUAAUAUAGUUAUCCAACUCGCCACCAUCUGCCAUGGUGUAGUGAUCACUGUAAAAACAUUUUUUUAAAGGCAAAUCAAUAGUGCCAAUGCUAGCUAAUGAUUAUUUAUGAACAUUUCUGUUUACUUCUCCUCCACGGGGGCCUUCGAGCGAGCACCUCACACACCUACGCU
ensembl:lncRNA